rnacentral:lncRNA from 1 species
AAACACCAAAUCUCCAAAUACAAUGAUUGAAAAAAAAAGAAUGAAUCCUAAAGGCAACACGUUGAGGCCGGCGUCGAUUAUACAGUUGGUUCUCGACGGUGAGGCCAUGGAUUAAAGACCGCGCUGGUGUGAGUGUGAUAUGGAGAGAGUAAAAGGAGGGAUUUGGAAAGAGCACGUUGGAGGGUAGAGGAAUCUGUAUUGAAGAGAGAUAGGCGGGGAAGGCUCUCGAGAGCACAAUUGAAUGCCUUUAAUUUUUGAAAGGGUAAAUUGAAUUGAAAAAUUUAUGAUGACACAAAUUUUUGUUACCGUUGGCAAUCAAUUGUCAUAUUUGAUGAAACUAUUCUUUUUUGGGUUGCUUUGGGCAUCCAGCAGUUUUGCUCGGCACCCAGCAACGCGGGUAAAAAGAUUAAAAUAUGCUUCAUCUUCAUCGUUUCUUCUUCUUCUUAGGAAGUGCUUUUUCUUCCUCUUUUCUCUGGUGCUUCUUCUUCCUCUGUUCUCCGGCGACGGUGCUUGUUCAUCCUCUUUUGUCCG